rnacentral:rRNA from 1 species
CCCUUAGACGUUCUGGGCCGCACGCGCGCUACACUGACCAGUGCAACAAGCAUCCGUCCUUGGCCGACAGGCCCGGGCAAUCUUUGAACGCUGGUCGUGAUGGGGAUAGACUUUUGCAAUUUUUGGUCUUCAACGAGGAAUGCCUAGUAAGCGCAAGUCAUCAGCUUGCGUUGAUUACGUCCCUGCCCUUUGUACACACCGCCCGUCGCUCCUACCGAUUGAAUGGUCCGGUGAAGCGCUCGGACCGCGGCCUCUUGACGGUUCGCUGUCGAUUGGCUGUGGGAAGUUCGUUAAACCUUAUCAUUUAGAGGAAGGAGAAGUCGUAACA